GAUCAGACACACCUGACACCAAUCACACACACUCUCUCACCUCUGGUACUUAGGGAUGUCAUUCACCAGAAUAUAUGAGAAGUAUACGUUCAGUCAACUCGUUUCUCUGCGUUACCAAGCCGUUCUAGUUAGUUUGUCUUCUCGUGAUCCUCGACCCUCGUUUCCGGUUUCGACUACGCUCUCUGCCUGCCCCCGUUUGUGUUGUUCAUCCGGUCGCUUGACCUUUGCCUGUCUUACGACCACGUUUCUUGUAUUUCCCGAUAUGACGCUCUACACCUGCCGCCCGCUCCUGCUUCCGUGCCGAUUCGAGACUGCUGGAAUCAGUAGCAUUUUUCUGUUGGUUUUCUCUUUGCUCCAGUUCGCCGUCUCCAUCGCCAUCUCGGCUUUUGCCUGUAAAGCCACAGCCUCAAAUGAACCUACUCUGAACAUCAGCAAUGUGGUUCCAGAUCCUGAGGGAUAUGUUUCUGUGGACAACUACUUUCCAGCUCAUCAUGCUCACCCGGGGAUCAGUGCAAUUAAUGCUGUUGCCAUGCCUGUAGGAAGUCCUCCAGCAUACAGCGAGAUAAAAAGUGAAUCAGACAGCUGAAGAGAAUUUCAAAUAAGGAAUUACAGUAAAAUAGAAAACAGUAAAAUAAUAUUUUCAAUUUUCUCACAUAUGCACUGGUGAAGAACUGUAUUAUAAGGAAAUUAAAUCGUGUAUUUUUGUUAGUUUUUGCUGCAGUUGCUCCACACGUUUUAAAUUUUGGGAAUCUAAAUUGUACUCUAUUAAUAAUACUCUGUAUUAUUUUCUUCUAAAAUAAUAAUAAUAAUAAAGUAUACCACAGUGAUGUUGAAUUCUGGAUUCUGAUUGGUCAGGAAGUGUUCAUUAAUUUUAUAUAGGUCAUUAUUAAUAGGCUUCUUAUUUUGCUAUUGGUUCUGCACAGGGCAUCAGCUUUUCCAUUUUACAUUCCGUUUGGCUCAUUGCCCAAGAAACUGAAUCUUUGGUGAGCUGUUAUUGCCAACAGCUUUGCACCUAAGUACUGAUGUUAAUUUAUGGUGUCUAAAUACUUUUUUUCUGUUUUAUAUUUCCCUUCAAUCUUUUUAUUACAUUUCCUGAGUCAUUUAUUCCAUUUUUUUUUUUAACAAGUGUAGAUUAUAUUAAUUCAUCUAUUAAAAUUAAUUCAUUAUAUUAAUUCAUCUGUAUGGGAAGAUAGUAUUAGCCAUUUAAUGUUGAAUGUUU
ensembl:lncRNA